CUGCGGUCCAGUGGUUGGGACUCUGUGCUUUCACUGCAGGGGGUACAGGUUCUAUCCCUGGUCUGGGAACUAAGGUCCUGCAAACCAGUCAGGGAAGCUUGCUUACAUGGCCUCUGCAGCUUUGGGUCAAUCCAUAUAAAAAUCCCAAGAAAAGACUUUCGUGAGUUCUGCUUUGGAUCACAUGCCCACUCCAGAACAAUCUCUGUCACUGUUGACCAGCCCGAAUCAAGGGCCUUCCCAUGACGAACAGCACCUUGACUGCCAGAUCCAGAAGAAGAGGAGUGUCCUCCCAAAGGAAGAGAUGCAGAGGAAAAUCAAACCACACAUCACCCCAUGGCAGCCUUGCAGGUGUCCCAGGCAGCCAGGUGCCAGGUAUGGACACGCUGACAUCACAUCUACAAUCAGCACAGGAGAAGGCUGAAUGGUUUCCCCAGCUGUUUAACUUAAAUCUAC
ensembl:lncRNA